CCUACGGGUGGCAGCAGUGGGGAAUAUUGGACAAUGGGCGAAAGCCUGAUCCAGCAAUACCGCGUGUGUGAAGAAGGCCUGAGGGUUGUAAAGCACUUUCAAUUGGGAGGAAUACCUAUCCCUUAAUACGGGGUAGACUGACAUUACCUUUAGAAGAAGCACCGGCUAACUCCGUGCCAGCAGCCGCGGUAAUACGGAGGGUGCGAGCGUUAAUCGGAAUUACUGGGCGUAAAGCGUGCGUAGGCGGUUAGUUAAGUCAGAUGUGAAAGCCCCGGGCUUAACCUGGGAACUGCAUUUGAUACUGGCUAACUAGAGUUUAAGAGAGGGGAGUGGAAUUUCAGGUGUAGCGGUGAAAUGCGUAGAGAUCUGAAGGAACACCAGUGGCGAAGGCGACUCCCUGGCUUAAAACUGACGCUGAGGUACGAAAGCGUGGGUAGCAAACAGGAUUAGAUACCCGAGUAGU
rnacentral:rRNA from 1 species